rnacentral:rRNA from 1 species
AUGAACGCUGGCGGCGUGCCUAAUACCUGCAAGUCGAGCGAACAGACGAGGAGCUUGCUCCUCUGACGUUAGCGGCGGACGGGUGAGUAACACGUGGAUAACCUACCUAUAAGACUGGGAUAACUUCGGGAAACCGGAGCUAAUACCGGAUAAUAUAUUGAACCUCAUGGUUCAAUAGUGAAAGACGGUUUUGCUGUCACUUAUAGAUGGAUCCGCGCCGCAUUAGCUAGUUGGUAAGGUAACGGCUUACCAAGGCAACGAUGCGUAGCCGACCUGAGAGGGUGAUCGGCCACACUGGAACUGAGACACGGUCCAGACUCCUACGGGAGGCAGCAGUAGGGAAUCUUCCGCAAAGGGCGAAAGCCUGACGGAGCAACGCCGCGUGAGUGAUGAAGGUCUUCGGAUCGUAAAACUCUGUUAUUAGGGAAGAACAAAUGUGUAAGUAACUAUGCACGUCUUGACGGUACCUAAUCAGAAAGCCACGGCUAACUACGUG